rnacentral:rRNA from 1 species
GAUGAACGCUAGCGGCAGGCCUAACACAUGCAAGUCGAGGGGCAGCACAUAAAGUGGUUUACUACUUUUGGUGGCGACCGGCGGACGGGUGCGUAACGCGUAUGCAACCUGCCUCCAACAGGGGGAUAACGGAGAGAACUUUCCACUAAUACCCCAUAAUAUCAGAAUCGGCAUCGGUUUUGGUUGAAAACUCCGGUGGUUGGAGAUGGGCAUGCGUUGUAUUAGAUAGUUGGUGAGGUAACGGCUCACAAAGUCAACGAUACAUAGGGGGACUGAGAGGUUAGCCCCCCACACUGGUACUGAGACACGGACCAGACUCCUACGGGAGGCAGCAGUGAGGAAUAAUGGUCAAUGGGGGCAACCCUGAACCAGCCAUGCCGCGUGCAGGAAGACGGCUCUAUGAGUUGUAAACUGCUUUUACAAGGGGAUAAAUCGGUGUACGUGUACACCGUUGAAGGUACCUUGGGAAUAAGGAUCGGCUAACUCCGUGCCAGCAGCCGCCGUAA